rnacentral:rRNA from 1 species
AGCAGCCGCGGUAAUUCCAGCUCCAAUAGCGUAUAUUAAAGUUGUUGCAGUUAAAAAGCUCGUAGUUGAAUUUCGGGGUUAGUAGGUUGGUCAUGCCUCUGGUAUGUACUGGUCUCACUGAUUCCUCCUUCCUGAUGAGCCGUAAUGCCAUUAAUUUGGUGUUGCGGGGAAUUUGGACUGUUACUUUGAAAAAAUUAGAGUGUUUAAAGCAAGCUAACGCUUGAAUACAUUAGCAUGGAAUAAUGAAAUAGGACGUUCGAUCCUAUUUUGUUGGUUUCUAGGAUUGACGUAAUGAUUAAUAGGGAUAGUUGGGGGCAUUAGUAUUCAAUUGUCAGAGGUGAAAUUCUUGGAUUUGGUGAAGACUAACUACUGCGAAAGCAUUUGCCAAGGAUGUUUUCAUUAAUCAAGAACGAGAGUUAGGGGAUCGAAGACGAUCAGAUACCGUCGUAGUCUUAACCAUAAACUAUGCCGACUAGGGAUCGGAUGAUGUUAAUUUUUUAAUGACUCA